AGACCUACGGGAGGCAGCAGUAGGGAAUCUUCCACAAUGGGCGCAAGCCUGAUGGAGCAACACCGCGUGAGUGAAGAAGGGUUUCGGCUCGUAAAGCUCUGUUGUUGGAGAAGAACGUGCGUGAGAGUAACUGUUCACGCAGUGACGGUAUCCAACCAGAAAGUCACGGCUAACUACGUGCCAGCAGCCGCGGUAAUACGUAGGUGGCAAGCGUUAUCCGGAUUUACUGGGUGUAAAGGGAGCGUAGACGGCAGCGCAAGUCUGAAGUGAAAUCCCAUGGCUUAACCAUGGAACUGCUUUGGAAA
rnacentral:rRNA from 1 species